rnacentral:lncRNA from 1 species
UAUAUGUUUGUCCAUGAUGAGUUGAGCUCAACAUCUUUAAGUUAAAAAAAUCUUUCUUUCAAUUCCUGAAGUUCCCAAACCAGUCCCAGAAGAGAAAGUCCCUGUUCCCAAAAAAGUGCCACCUCCAAAAGCUAAAGUGCCUGAAGUUCCCACACCUGUCCCAGAAGAGAAAGUGCCUAUUCCCAAAAAAGUGCCACCUCCAAAAGCUAAAGGUAUGUCUUAUCUAAAGAGUAAUAUGAAGAAACAUUAGCAUUAACAUUAGCAUUAAUAUACUUGGCAUCCAUGUUAUUACACAUGAAUUUUGGUAGUUCAAAGUUUUGUGAUGUCUUAUGUGUUUGUCCAUGGUGAUGCAAAUCUUUAAAAAAAAUAUCUUCCCUACUAUCUUUAAAAGUGCCUGAAGUUCCCACACCUAUCCCAGAAGAGGAAGUGCCUAUUCCCAAAAAAGUUCCAGCACCACCACCAGCCAAAGUGCCUAAAGUUCCCAAACCUGUCCCGGAAGAGGAAGUCCCAGUUCCCAAAAAAGUGCCAGCUCCACCAGCCAAAGUGCCUGAAGUGCCCAAACCUGUCCCAGAAGAGAAAGUGCCCGUUCCCAAAAAGGUGCCAGCUCCUCCUGCUAAAGGUACAGGUGAAAUUUGUAACAUUGUGAAAACAAAGUUCACAAUACAUUUCACAAUAAU